rnacentral:rRNA from 1 species
UACGUAGGGCGCAAGCGUUGUCCGGAAUUAUUGGGCGUAAAGAGCUCGUAGGUGGCUUGUCACGUCUGCUGUGAAAACUCGGGGCUCAACCCCGAGCCUGCAGUGGAUACGGGCUAGCUAGAGUGCGGUAGGGGAGACUGGAAUUCCUGGUGUAGCGGUGAAAUGCGCAGAUAUCGGGAGGAACACCGGUGGCGAAGGCGGGUCUCUGGACCGAUACUGACACUGAGGAGCGAAAGCGUGGGGAGCGAACAGG